UACGGAGGGGGCAAGCGUUGUUCGGAAUUAUUGGGCGUAAAGGGCGUGUAGGCGGCCGAUCAAGUCGGGUGUGAAAUCCCUCGGCUCAACCGAGGAAUUGCACUCGAUACUGGUUGGCUAGAGUCCGGGAGGGGGUGGCGGAAUUCCCAGUGUAGCGGUGAAAUGCGUAGAUAUUGGGAAGAACACCGGUAGCGAAGGCGGCCACCUGGACCGGAACUGACGCUGAGGCGCGAAAGCCAGGGGAGCAAACGGG
rnacentral:rRNA from 1 species